UACGUAGGGUGCAAGCGUUGUCCGGAAUUAUUGGGCGUAAAGAGCUCGUAGGCGGUCUGUUGCGUCGGCUGUGAAAACCCGCGGCUCAACUGCGGGUCUGCAGUCGAUACGGGCAGGCUAGAGUUCGGUAGGGGAGACUGGAAUUCCUGGUGUAGCGGUGAAAUGCGCAGAUAUCAGGAGGAACACCGAUGGCGAAGGCAGGUCUCUGGGCAUUAACUGACGCUGAGGAGCGAAAGCAUGGGGAGCGAACAGG
rnacentral:rRNA from 1 species